AGCUCACGUAAGAGUUUGAUCCUGGCUCAGCCUGAACGCUGGCGGCGUGGCUAAGACAUGCAAGUCGCACGGGGCCGCAAGGUCCAGUGGCGAACGGGUGAGUAAAGAAUCGCUAACGUACCCCGGACUCUGGGAUAGCUAUCCGAAAGGUAGGUAAUACCAGAUGACAUACCUCUUCCGCAUGGUGGAGGUCUCAAAGGUCCGCCGGUCUGGGAGCGGGCGAUUUCGUAUCAGCUAGUUGGUGAGGUAACGGCUCACCAAGGCGACGACGCGUAGCCGGACUGAGAGGUUGGCCGGCCACAUUGGGACUGAGACACUGCCCAGACCCCUACGGGGGCUGCAGUAACGAAUCUUCCGCAAUGCACGAAAGUGUGACGGAGCGACGCCGCGUGUGGGAUGAAGUUCUUCGGAAUGUAAACCACUGUCAGGGGUUAGAAAGUUCUGAUCAACCCCAGAGGAAGGCACGGCUAACUCUGUGCCAGCAGCCGCGGUAAU
rnacentral:rRNA from 1 species